GGUUGCGAUUAUACCAGCACUAAUGCACCGGAUCCCAUCAGAACUCCGCAGUUAAGCGUGCUUGGCGAGAGUAGUACUAGGAUGGGUGACCCCCUGGGAAGUGCUCAUGUUGAAACCC
rnacentral:rRNA from 1 species